rnacentral:rRNA from 1 species
AUACGUAGGGGGCGAGCGUUGUCCGGAAUGAUUGGGCGUAAAGGGCGCGUAGGCGGCCCGGUAAGUCUGGAGUGAAAGUCCUGUUUUUAAGAUGGGAAUUGCUUUGGAUACUGUCGGGCUUGAGUGCAGGAGAGGUAAGUGGAAUUCCCAGUGUAGCGGUGAAAUGCGUAGAUAUGAGGAAGAACACCAGUGGCGAAGGCGGUCUACUGGACAGUAACUGACGCUGAGGCGCGAAAGCGUGGGGAGCAAACAGGAUUAGAUACCCUGGUAGUCCACGCUGUAAACGAUGAAUACUAGGUGUGGGGGGACUGACCCCCUCCGUGCCGCAGUUAACACAAUAAGUAUUCCACCUGGGGAGUACGGCCGCAAGGUUGAAACUCAAAUGAAUUGACGGGG